rnacentral:misc_RNA from 1 species
CUCCGGAAAAAAAACUAUCACCAAAUUUACUUUUUGUUUCCCACUGAUUACCAAAAGUUAAGGCAACUAGAGAAAAAGGCGACAGCUUUAAUGGGGGUAAAAAUUUUACUUUGUGUCCUUUAAACCAGCUUUUCCCUAUUUCUUUCCUGGAGAAUUCUUGGAGGCCUUCAACUUUCAUGGAAAGUCCUAUCAUAAUUCAACCCUUUCUUCAUCAUUAUCACUAAGAAAUCCCAAAAAUCUUUUGCUUCCUAAAUAGUAUUCCAAAUUACUAUUUCUUUUUCCCUCUUUCUCUCACUCAGAAUUUUUUCCCUAUAAUUAGUGGUGAUUUUAGGCAUACAUCAGUCCUUCCAUUUCUCCGUUUAGCUUGUAUUCCAAUAUGGCGUCUCAAUUAUAUCCGUGCCUUUUCUUUUCUUUGUUUGCUUGCUUUUUCUUCUCUUGCUCAGUGGCGUACAUCAAUUUCUAUGUGGGUGGCAAAAAUGGUUGGGUUGUAAAUCCUUCUGAGAAAUAUAAUGACUGGGCUGGGAGAAAUAGAUUCCAAGUUAAUGACACUCUCAGUGAGUUUUUUCCUUUUUUUGAUUUGUUUUGAUUUUUGAAUAUUUGAUUUCUUUGCUUCUUUUGCUGAUGUUCGUUUUGUUCUUUUGUAGUUUUUAAGUACAAAGAAGGAACAGACUCGGUCUUGCUUGUUAAGAAAGAUGACUAUUAUAAUUGCAACACAAAAAAUCCUCUCAAGACUAUGAAAUCAGGCACCUCUGUUUUUCAACUUGAUCACUCUGGUCCUUUCUUUUUUAUUAGUGGAAAUAAAGACAAUUGCGAGAAGGAACAAAGAUUGAUUGUUGUAGUUAUAGCUAUUAGAACAAAAUCAGUCCCACCAGUCUCUCAGCCUCCUAUCAUAUACCCAAAUGCGUCAUCCCCAGUAGCUCACCCUCCAUCUAUCUCCCCUGCAUCUCCAUCACCCAAAACUCCAUCAUUGUCUCCGGUGCCUACAGUGUCCCCUGCUUCUCCAUCGCCAAUUGCCAAGACUCCCUCAGUGUCUCCAUCACUGUCACCUGUUUCUCCAUCGCCAAUUGCCCCGACUCCCUCAUUUGCUCCAUCACCCAAAUCUCCAUCCUCAGCUCCGGUACCUGUACCUACAGUGUCCCCUGUUUCUCCAUCACCUAAUGCCAACACUCCCUCUUUGGCUCCAUCACCAGAGUCUAAUACUCCACAGACAUCUCCAGUGAAGUCACCGUCUCCAUCUCCUUCUGCAAUAUCACCAACAUUAUCUCCAACAGAGGCUCCUUCACCAGCAACUCAGGCACCAAACCCUCCAUCUCCUGCAACUGCUCCUACUGCUGCCUCUCCAGCUCCGUCAGAAACAUCCACACCUGAGCCAGCAUCAUCACCAGGCAACGAUAAUACUGGAAACGUCAAUGCUCCUGGUGCAUCUCGUUCUGCUUCAUGGGCAAUAACUCCUUCAAUGAUGAUGUUGUUUGCGGUAUCUUUUGUUGUCAGUGUUACUAUUGGUGCAUCUCCUCGGGGAGUCUAUUGAAUAAUCUGAUAAUGGGUUUGAUUUGGAUUUUUUUAAUAGUUUUGUUAGAAUUUCUCAGUUAAUUUUUUUUUUUAAUAUGGUUUUAAUUAUCACUGCAGACCUUUGUUUAAUGGUUUGAUUUAUUUUAAUUUAUGUUAAUGACAUAUCUUGAUAUUCUUAAAAUAUUUGUGCACUUGUUU